GAGGAAAGAAGGAAGGAAGAGAGGGAGGGAGGAAGGACAAAAGAUAAAUCUUUCAUUUGUUAUUUUUCUUUCUGACCCUAGGAAAAUAAUUCAUCUCCUUCCAAACUUCAGUCUCCUCACCUAUAAAAUUGCCUCUUUCAGAGGGUUAUUUGAGGAUCAACUGAGGCACUGCACAAGAAAGAUCUUUUAAAGUAAAAGUCCACCAUGAAUUUGGAAACUGUUCUACUGUACACUGCUGCCAAGAUGCUCUGCCUCACCACAGGCCUAGAGGCAAUAGAGCCAAGUGAACCUGUACUGAAACUUCUGAAGUUGUGAAUAGAAUAAACCUUUCCUUCUUGAAGUU